rnacentral:rRNA from 1 species
AUUAGCGUUGUUCGGAUUCAUUGGGCGUAAAGGGUGCGUAGGUGGCGGGGCAAGUCAGGUGUGAAAUCUCGGAGCUCAACUCCGAAACUGCACUUGAUACUGCCUUGCUUGAGUACUGGAGAGGAGAUUGGAAUUUACGGUGUAGCAGUGAAAUGCGUAGAUAUCGUAAGGAAGACCAGUGGCGAAGGCGAAUCUCUGGACAGUUACUGACACUGAGGCACGAAGGCCAGGGGAGCAAACGGGAUUAGAUACCCCGGUAGUCCUGGCAGUAAACGGUGCGCGUUUGGUGUGGGAGGAUUCGACCCCUUCUGUGCCGGAGCUAACGCGUUAAACGCGCCGCCUGGGGAGUACGGUCGCAAGAUUA